GAUGAAGAACGCAGUGAAAUGCGAUAAGUAAUGUGAAUUGCAGAAUUCAGUGAAUCAUCGAAUCUUUGAACGCACCUUGCGCUCCUUGGUAUUCCGAGGAGCAUGCCUGUUUGAGUGACAUGAAUCUCUCAAACUCUUAGUUUCAUUACUGAGUGUUUGGAUUUGGAGGUCUAUGCUGGCGCAAGUCAGCUCCUCUUAAAUACAUUAGCUUGGGUCUUGCAUGUCUGGAUCCUUGGUGUGAUAAUUAUCUACGCCAUGAUGUCCCUUCAAGCCCUGCUUCUAAUCGUCUGAAUAAGACAAUUUAUUACUUGACAUCUGACCUCAAAUCAGGUAGGACUACCCGCUGAACUUAAGCAUAUCAAUAAGCGGAGGA
rnacentral:misc_RNA from 1 species